GACGAACGCUGGCGGCGUGCUUAACACAUGCAAGUCGAGCGGUAAGGCCCUUUCGGGGGUACGACGAGCGGCGAACGGGUGGGUAACACGUGGGUGACCUGCCCUCAGUUCUGGGAUAAGCCUGGGAAACCGGGUCUAAUACUGGAUAUGACUCCAUGACGCAUGUUGUGGGGUGGAAANCCUUGUGCGGCUGAGGAUGGGCCCGCGGCCUAUCAGCUUGUUGGUGGGGUGAUGGCCACCAAGGCGACGACGGGUAGCCGGCCUGAGAGGGCGACCGGCCACACUGGGACUGAGACACGGCCCAGACUCCUACGGGAGGCAGCAGUGGGGAAUCUUGCGCAAUGGGCGAAAGCCUGACGCAGCGACGCCGCGUGAGGGAUGACGGCCU
rnacentral:rRNA from 1 species